UUAAAAAAAUAUAUCCUCUCAAAGUAUCUUCAACAAAUAUCUCACCAUCCUUAUCCCUCCGUCCACCUCAUCCUCGACUCACUCUCAUUUCUCUCUUCCUCACUAUUACUUUUUCUUCCUUCACGUUUUCUUUCUUUCUUCAGCAGACCCAUUUCUGCUCUUUCUUCCUUUCUUCUCCUUUUCUUCUUCUUUUCUUUCUUUGUUACCUACUUUAUCUCCUUCUUUUAUUUGCUGCAACAACUCCCCACCGUUCCUCUUUCUCUUUUGAUCAGUAUCUCCACAUCCUUUUCUUCUCCAUGGACAACCAGUCCAUGAGCCACCACCUCUACUCUCCCUCUUGUAACCGCUGAUCACACCAUCACUAUCACCAUGAUUCUUCUCCUUCCUAACUUGCAGCAACAAACAUGGCACCACCACCAAUAUGAAAGCCACACACACCCCUUCUCAUCACAUAUUUGCUCCAUCUUCUAACCACCACCGUUCCUGGCUCUCCAUGGAGCCUAACAAUCCACCAUCUUUGUUCUCCUUCUUCUGGUUUUGAAUGGAGAACCCCAUGAAAGGACCCAAGCACCACCACCGUGAGCUCCACCACGCAGAGGACGCCACCGGCACAUCACCCUCUCAUUUUCCUUGGGUACGAAUAACUGAAGCGCUUGACGACGAAGCCAAAGAACAAACGGAAGUGAGCCAACACGGGAAAGCAAAGAUAUGACUGGAUUUGAUUUGAGUCGCAACUUAGUAAGGAAAGCGCCUAAGACGACGAAAGGAGGUGAUGUGAGCAGAUGCUACUCCACGUGGAAGAUCUAUAGAAGACUCGAAGAAUAGAGUCGGGUGUAGGGCAAGAGCCUUUGGGUAGAAAAACUUACCGUUAUUGGUUUAAGCUUGUAGGAUAAUUUUAUGAUUCGCAUUUGAGGUUUUGGGUAGGUUCCGGUGCAUUGCUUUCCUAUGGUUACCCGGUGUGGAAAUCAUAGGGAGUAUAUCGGAUCUAUGGAGUCAUUGCAUAGUGAGUCCGUCCUUCCCAAAGAUCCUCAACUUAGAUUUCUCUAGUAUGCUCCUUCCCUAGGCCAAAGAAUCAUUACUCUAAUACCAACUCCUGUGGCGUCCCCCUUCCACAAGUGACGUAUUCGUCCAACUCCUAUCACUUAUGAAUGAGUGAGCCGUUUUUUUUUUUUUUGUCGCAUUAGUGUUAGUGUUAGUGUUACCGUUCUAAUGAUGCAUCGAUUCAGAGACCUUUUACGACUUCUCACAGUCGCAGAGUUCCCCUCUAACCUUUUCAGAUGGAUGACCGUAUACAUAAAGGCAAGCAAGUUAGCACACAAUAAAGCAUUAAACACAUAGCAUACGUGGCGAAGGUCACUAUAAAGUUCGAAUGACAGAAGCCAAUAGAGUGUUCAACUGAGGGUAUACACAUUCCUCCACAAGGCAUCAUCAAACAAAAACUUAAUUAAUUAAGAGAACUAGUGUGAACUAUCAUCGGACCAUACGACUUCACUCCCCAACCUCCUCCUCUUCCGGAUCCUCUUCCAUGUCACCACUGCUCCCCUCCUCCGGCACUGGCAUAGGCACCCUCUCCCCCAAUCCGUCGGGUUUCACGGACCGCUGUCAUCAGUAUGUCUUCCGCAUAUCUUCUUCCAACUCCCACGUAGCUUCCCGGUCUUCCCCUUCUCCCCAAGCUACCUUUACUAAUGGGAUUUCUUUCUUCCUAAGUUUCUUCAUCCUCCUAUCUAAUAUCUGUUUAGGUUCUGCUGUGUAUGUUAGGUUUUCUCUAAGUUGUAUAUGUUCAGGUUUCAUCACAUGAGAGGGGUCAGGUAUGUAUCUUUUCAUCUGGGACACAUGAAAGACAUCGUGCAAGUUUGACAACGAGGGUGGAAGGACUAUCUGAUAAGUUGAUGCCCCCACUCUCCUAAGGAUUUGAUAAGGUCUUAAGAAUUUAGGUGAGUUUCCUUGACCUUAUAGAUCUUCCUAUCCCUGUGACCGGACUAAUCCGAAGGAAAACAUGAUCUUCUUCCUCAAAUUCUAAAGGCUUCCUUCUGCGGUCAUAGUAAGCCUUUUGUCGGUCCUGUGCUAUCCUCAGCUUCUCCCUAAUCCUUUUUACUUUCUCGGACAUCUCUUGUACCACUUCGGGUCCUAAGACUAUCUUGUCUCCUUCGUCAAACCAUCAUAGUGGCGUCUUGCACUUCCUUCCAUAUAGCGCCUCGAAAGGUGCCAUUCCUAAACUUGAGUGGAAACUAUUAUUGUAGGAAAAUUCUACCAAUGGUAGGCAGUCUUCCCAGUUUCCUCGCUCUUCCAAAAUGCAAGCUCUUAACAUGUCCUCGAGUGUCUGGAUCGUCCUUUCGGUAUGUCCAUCGGUUUGGGGAUGAUAAGCCGAGCUAAAUCUUAAAUUCGUUCCCAAAGCCUUGUGUAGACUCUUCCAGAAUUGUGAAGUAAAUCGCAGAUCUCGGUCCGAAACUAUGCUUGUUGGUAUUCCAUGCAGUCUUACAACUUCUUUGAUGUAAAUCUUGGCCAACUUUUCCAAUGAAUAUGUCAUGUUAACCGCGAUGAAAUGUGCACAUUUUGUAAGUCGGUCCACAAUUACCUAGAUCGCGUCAUUCUAAGCUUGCGUCUUAGGUAACUUUGUGACAGAAUUUGUGACGGAACUAAAGAAAAUUUGUGAUGGAAAAUAUUUACUCGUUGCACUUUUGGGACGGAAUACAGUAAUUUACAUUUUUUAUGAAAAUACUAUUGUGACAGAAUGGGUAACAGAAAAAAUAUUUUCCUGUGACGAAAUGGAAAAUAACAUAGUCCGUCCCAAAUUGUGCGAUGGAUAUAUUCCGUCACUGAGCUGUGAAGUUUGUUUGGGGACGAAAUAUUCCGUCGCUAAUUUGAACUUUUUUAAAAAAAAUUAUUUGGGCCAGUCCAAUCAAUGUGCAGUAUAAAGUGAUACCAAAAUGCAAAUAUGACAACAAAUCCUUUCCUUGGGCAAAGGUCAGUUCCUUGGGCAAAGGUCAGUCCACUUAUUUGCCUUAAUUUAUCUCAGACUCAAACACCAAUAUAUAAUUAUAUAUAUAAGAAAAAUUGAAGAGGUGGAUCCACAGUAUGCCACAUUUUGUGUUCAAAUUUAUGAUGAAUAGAUAGAUACAAUCAGUUAGCCAAAAUACCAAAAGAAACUUAUGAAGGAACUACAUAGGUUCACAUUACAAGCUUAUCUCCUACCCAAAGAUUUGGCAAUUAAAGGAGCAAAUUCCACACAUGGAAGAACUCACAUCGUCUCAUAGCAUGCUCCCCCUGCUGCCUUAUGUUUACAGCACACAGACUUCAUGGUAAAGCUCCAUAU